GAGAUAUUAGCUCAGUUGGUAGAGCAUUACACUUUUAAUGUAAGGGUCGAGAGUUCGAACCUCUCAUAUCUCA
rnacentral:tRNA from 1 species